GUAGGUGGCAAGCGUUGUCCGGAAUUAUUGGGCGUAAAGCGCGCGCAGGCGGUUCUUUAAGUCUGACGUGAAAGCCCACGGCUCAACCGUGGAGGGUCAUUGGAAACUGGAGAACUUGUGUACAGAAGAGGAAAGCGGAAUUCCACGUGUAGCGGUGAAAUGCGUAGAGAUGUGGAGGAACACCAGUGGCGAAGGCGGCUUUUCUGGUCUGUAACUGACGCUGAGGCGCGAAAGCGUGGGGAGCAAACAGGGAUUAGAUACCCUGGUAGUCCACGCCGUAAACGAUGAGUGCUAAGUGUUAGGGGGGUUUCCGCCCCCUUAGUGCUGCAGCUAACGCAUUAAGCACUCCGCCUGGGGAUACGGCCGCAAGGCUG
rnacentral:rRNA from 1 species